rnacentral:rRNA from 1 species
GUGCUUAACACAUGCAAGUCGAACGGAAAGGCCCUGCUUUUGUGGGGUGCUCGAGUGGCGAACGGGUGAGUAACACGUGAGUAACCUGCCCUUGACUUUGGGAUAACUUCAGGAAACUGGGGCUAAUACCGGAUAGGAGCUCCUGCUGCAUGGUGGGGGUUGGAAAGUUUCGGCGGUUGGGGAUGGACUCGCGGCUUAUCAGCUUGUUGGUGGGGUAGUGGCUUACCAAGGCUUUGACGGGUAGCCGGCCUGAGAGGGUGACCGGCCACAUUGGGACUGAGAUACGGCCCAGACUCCUACGGGAGGCAGCAGUGGGGAAUAUUGCACAAUGGGCGGAAGCCUGAUGCAGCAACGCCGCGUGCGGAAUGACGGCCUUCGGGUUGUAAACCGCUUUCGCCUGUGACGAAGCGUGAGUGACGGUAAUGGGUAAAGAAGCACCGGCUAACUACGUGCCAGCAGCCGCGGUGAUACGUAGGGUGCGAGCGUUGUCCGGAUUUAUUGGGCGUAAAGGGCUCGUAGGUGGUUGAUCGCGUCGGAAGUGUAAUCUUGGGGCUUAACCCUGAGCGUGCUUUCGAUACGGGUUGACUUGAGGAAGGUAGGGGAGAAUGGAAUUCCUGGUGGAGCGGUGGAAUGCGCAGAUAUCAGGAGGAACACCAGUGGCGAAGGCGGUUCUCUGGGCCUUUCCUGACGCUGAGGAGCGAAAGCGUGGGGAGCGAACAGGCUUAGAUACCCUGGUAGUCCACGCUGUAAACGGUGGGUACUAGGUGUGGGGUCCAUUCCACGGGUUCCGUGCCGUAGCUAACGCUUUAAGUACCCCGCCUGGGGAGUACGGCCGCAAGGCUAAAACUCAAAGGAAUUGACGGGGCCCCGCACAAGCGGCGGAGCAUGCGGAUUAAUUCGAUGCAACGCGUAGAACCUUACCUGGGUUUGACAUGGAUCGGGAGUGCUCAGAGAUGGGUGUGCCUCUUUUGGGGUCGGUUCACAGGUGGUGCAUGGCUGUCGUCAGCUCGUGUCGUGAGAUGUUGGGUUAAGUCCCGCAACGAGCGCAACCCUUGUUCACUGUUGCCAGCACGUUAUGGUGGGGACUCAGUGGAGACCGCCGGGGUCAACUCGGAGGAAGGUGGGGAUGACGUCAAGUCAUCAUGCCCCUUAUGUCCAGGGCUUCACGCAUGCUACAAUGGCUGGUACAGAGAGUGGCGAGCCUGUGAGGGUGAGCGAAUCUCGGAAAGCCGGUCUCAGUUCGGAUUGGGGUCUGCAACUCGACCUCAUGAAGUCGGAGUCGCUAGUAAUCGCAGAUCAGCAACGCUGCGGUGAAUACGUUCCCGGGGCUUGUACACACCGCCCGUCAAGUCAUGAAAGUUGGUAACACCCGAAGCCGGUGGCCUAACCGUUGUGGGGGAGCCGUCGAAGGUGGGACUGGUGAUUAGGACUAAGUCG